rnacentral:rRNA from 1 species
GAUGAACGCUGGCGGCGUGCCUAAUACAUGCAAGUCGCGCGAACAGAUGAGGAGCUUGCUCCUCUGACGUUAGCGGCGGACGGGUGAGUAAGACGUGGAUAACCUACCUCUAAUACUGGGAUAACUUCGGGAAACCGGAGCUAAUACUGGAUAAUAUAUUGUACCGCAUGGAUCAAUAGUGAAAGACGGCUUUGCUGUCACUUUUAGCUGGCGCCGGAUUAGCUAGUUGGCUAGGUAACGGCCUACCAAGGCAACGAUGCGUAGCCGAUCUGAGAGGGUGAUCGGCCACACUGGAACUGAGACACGGUCCAGACUCCUACGGGAGGCAGCAGUGGGGAAUCUUCGGCAAUGGGCGAAAGCCUGACGGAGCAACGCCGCGUGAGUGAUGAAGGUCUUCGGAUCGUAAAGCUCUUUUAUUAGGGAAGAACAAAUGUAUAAGUAACUAUGCACGUCUUGACGGUACCCAAACAGAAAGCCACGGCUAACUACGUG